rnacentral:rRNA from 1 species
UGGGGAAUUUUGGACAAUGGGCGAAAGCCUGAUCCAGCAAUGCCGCGUGUGUGAAGAAGGCCUUCGGGUUGUAAAGCACUUUUGUCCGGAAAGAAAUCCUCUGGGUUAAUACCUCGGGGGGAUGACGGUACCGGAAGAAUAAGCACCGGCUAACUACGUGCCAGCAGCCGCGGUAAUACGUAGGGUGCAAGCGUUAAUCGGAAUUACUGGGCGUAAAGCGUGCGCAGGCGGUUUUGUAAGACGGAUGUGAAAUCCCCGGGCUUAACCUGGGAACUGCAUUCGUGACUGCAAGGCUAGAGUAUGGCAGAGGGGGGUUAGAAUUCCACGUGUAGCAGUGAAAUGCGUAGAGAUGUGGAGGAAUACCGAUGGCGAAGGCAGCCCCCUGGGCCAAUACUGACGCUCAUGCACGAAAGCGUGGGGAGCAAACAGGAUUAGAUACCCUGGUAGUCCACGCCCUAAACGAUGUCAACUAGUUGUUGGGGAUUCAUUUCCUUAGUAACGUAGCUAACGCGUGAAGUUGACCGCCUGGGG